GAUGAACGCUGGCGGCGUGCCUAAUACAUGCAAGUCGAGCGAACAGACGAGGAGCUUGCUCCUCUGACGUUAGCGGCGGACGGGUGAGUAACACGUGGAUAACCUACCUAUAAGACUGGGAUAACUUCGGGAAACCGGAGCUAAUACCGGAUAAUAUAUUGAACCGCAUGGUUCAAUAGUGAAAGACGGUUUUGCUGUCACUUAUAGAUGGAUCCGCGCCGCAUUCGCUAGUUGGUAAGGUAACGGCUUACCAAGGCGACGAUGCGUAGCCGACCUGAGAGGGUGAUCGGCCACCCUGGAACUGAGACACGGUCCAGACUCCUACGGGAGGCAGCAGUAGGGAAUCUUCCGCAAUGGGCGAAAGCCUGACGGAGCACCGCCGCGUGAGUGCUGAAGGUCUUCUGAUCGUAAAACUCUGUUAUUAGGGAAGAUCAAAUGUGUAAGUAACUAUGCACGUCUUGACGGUACCUAAUCAGAAAGCCACGGCUAACUACGUG
rnacentral:rRNA from 1 species